GGGAGAGUGGUGUACGGGUUAGCAUCUGUGCUUUGGAAGCAUGGGAAUCAAGUUCGAGUCUUGGCUUUCCCA
rnacentral:tRNA from 1 species